UGGAAAUGAUGAAAUGGAGAUACUUGGGUGUUGAAUGUUGUAUGACUGAAAAUUUUUAAUAUAUUAAUUCUAGAUUAGUAUUUUAUGGUAGUUAAUUGUUUGUGUGUGUGUGUGUGUGUGUGUAUGUGUGUGUUUUGGGCUAUGGAAAGGGGGCACUGAAUGGUGAUGCUGAUAUUGGAGUGCAUCUGAGGCUGUUGUAGAAAUAAUAGGGGUGUUGAUUUACAACAUUGCCAAUGAUUAUAACCCCAAAGCAGCUCACCUAACUAGCCCAGCACCCUAAAAUCUCUUAACAGGUUCAUUAAACAUGGUCCUGUAAUCUGAUCCAA
ensembl:scaRNA SCARNA7 small Cajal body-specific RNA 7